CCCUAACCACCAAGACGCUACGCUAGACAACAACUUUCCUAGUGGAUGGCCGUGCGCAAGAAACGGUUGUUUGCCGCUCUCCCGAAAUACAACAAAAGAUUCCGCGAAGCUCGCUCUAAGAUUGACUCCCGUAUGGAUCCUCACACAAACACACCCUCACACCGGUUACACGGCAGUAGCUUGCUUCCCGUUGUCACUCCACUCGUGCCCUAACUGACUGUCUGCGAGAGCGCAUCACAAGAGAGCACACACCGAAAGCGCCUGCCUGUGUUUCGCGGCUCCGAAGGACACGCAAUACUCCCACGACCGUGCGAGCAUGAGAGCGCGAAGGGAGUAACACCACCCGCGCGCGUACGAAGAGAAAGAGAGAGAGAGCGAAGGGUGUAGUAGUAUGGUGCCGUUGCAGGCGGCUGCUACAAUCGUCGGCCAAGCGGUUGCUGCUGGUUGGAAAAGCUUCCACCUUCAGUCUUCAGUCAGUUUUCCCACCGGUCGUAUGUGCCGCGUACCGCGUUUCGCAAGGCCACCCAUUCGCCUAUCGGUCAAUCUCUGUCAUCUCUGUUUUGUCCCCUGCAACCCAACCCCAACACUAGCAGCAUCAUCAACCAUUCUGGUCCCUUCACACUUUGUGUCCCUCAUCACGAAUUGACCGCGUUGCCGGUAUAGUAAGAUAAUGUAACGUAGAAGUGCAUUGUGCGCGUUUAGUGUGUUAUUCCCAGUGUGUGUGUGUGCGUAUGUGUGUAGGUGCAUUGCUUAUACUGUCUAUUCAACUAACUUAACCCUUUUCUGUGUGUCUGUGUCGUGAACGUCAACGCUCUAGUGUCUAUUUCCAUCCACGUGUGUGCGUGUAUGAGCGUGCUUUUGUGUGUGUAUGGUAGCUAAUCUAUGGAUAAUUGGUGUCUAUGUGCGAAACCCGAAGGAAGCUGUUAUCAACUAGGCUUGGAACCGGCUGGCUUACAGUGAUACACUGUGUUUCUAUGAGUGUGUGUGGCGUAAAGUGUGACAAGCGCAUAGCGUUACUGAAGCUUCAUGCGAGAUACUACUAGGCAGCUUUAGUAGCAGUGUGAACAUACGCAGCAGUACUAAGGAUUAACCAAGUGAAGCACCGAAGGAAGGAAGGCCAAACAAAGCGGGCUCAACCUUCAGAAAGUUUUCUACAGUCGGUGCAAAAACGUGCCGUACAUCACGUGGAGGGAAAGUUUCGCAAAGCAGUUGCUUCUUUCCGUACGACAUUCCGCAGCCCCAUCAGCACAAGUGCUAGGACGUGAAACAAUCGACACAUACGUACGCAGCCUGGAGUGUGGAGCAAACUAAAGCGCGCAAGUGUGACGUGGCGUUGCAAAAAAGCUGCUAAUAAAUCAAUGUAAGAAAUCACAAAGAGAAGAGAAACGCAAAUACGUGGCGAAACGUAGUGUGAAAAGGUGAGCAGCUUUUCGACCGAUUCUCGUAAAGUGAGUGUAAUAAUUGAUAAAUAUUAAACGAAAUAUCGCCAUAAAGUGUCACAGCUUUGCAAAAAGUAAAAGAGGG